rnacentral:rRNA from 1 species
UACGUAGGGGGCAAGCGUUGUCCGGAAUCAUUGGGCGUAAAGCGCGCGUAGGCGGCCCGGUAAGUCCGCUGUAAAAGUCCAAGGCUCAACCUUGGAAUGCCGGUGGAUACUGUCGGGCUAGAGUCCGGAAGAGGCGAGUGGAAUUCCUGGUGUAGCGGUGGAAUGCGCAGAUAUCUGGAGGAACACCGGUGGCGAAGGCGGCAUCCUGGACCGACAUUGACGCUGACGGCGCGAAAGCCAGGGGAGCAAAGCGGG